GAGGGUGUAGCUCAGUGGUUAGAGUGCAUGCUUAGCAUGCACUAGGUCUUGGGUUCAAUCCCCAGUACCUCCA
rnacentral:tRNA from 1 species